rnacentral:misc_RNA from 1 species
GAUGAAGAACGUAGCGAAAUGCGAUAAGUAAUGUGAAUUGCAGAAUUCAGUGAAUCAUCGAAUCUUUGAACGCACCUUGCGCCCUUUGGCCAUUCCGAAGGGCAUGCCUGUUUGAGUAUCAUGAACACCUCAACUCUCAUGGUUUGCCAUGAUGAGCUUGGACUUUGGGGGUUUUGCUGGCCUUUGGUCGGCUCCUCUCAAACGGAUCAGCUUUCCAGUGUUUGGUGGCGUCACGGGUGUGAUAACUAUCUACGCCUGUGGUUUUCUGCCAGAUAACCUUCAGCGAUGGAGGUUCGCUGGGGCUCAUAAAUGUCUCUCUUCAGUGGAGACAGCUUUUUGGACGUUUGAUCUCAAAUCAGGUAGGACUACCCGCUGAACUUAAGCAUAUCAAUAAGCGGAGGA